GGUUAGCCUCCCAGCUUUCAUAACCAACCAUCUGGGUUCUGGGCCACGUGUGGGGUGUGGAGGGGCAGGAUGCUGCAGGAGGCCGGGUAGGAGGCUGCUGUGCAGCCUGCAAUGCAGAUGGACCCGGAGCUGGCCUGUGGAGUGGAGAGGACUUGACUAGGCAGAAAGCAGCCCAGCGGGCAGAGCUGGAGGCAGCCAGAUGAAGGUCUGGAGACCAGAGAGAGUGUGGAAUGUGCCAGGAGCCCUGGGGAGCCGGUGGGCCUAGAGAUGGGCCAAUUCCUCGGAAGCAGGCAGGACUCUGAGAAGAUGCAGGGCUGAAGUCUGCUUUGCCUUCUCUGGAAAGAAGUUCUGUGAAGCCCAGAAAGCCAAAACCACCUCCUCAGUCUGCCACUCCACCGAAGGCUGGUGAAAGGAACUGGACCAUCUGUUUGGGGCUUCUAAAAGUUAUUAGGGGCCAGGUGCGGUGGCUCACACCUGUAAUCCUAGCACUUUGGGAGACCAAAGCCGGAGGAGUGCUCAAGCCCAGGAGUUUGAGACCAGCCUGUACUACAUAGUGAGACCCUGUCUCUACCAAAAAAAAAAAACCCACCAGGCAUGCUUGUGCACACCUGUAGUUCCAGCUACUCAGGAAGCUGAGAUGGGAGGAUUGCUUGAGCCCAGCCCAGGAGGUUGUUUUAGUGAGCUGUGCCACUGUACCCAGGCCUGGGAGACAGAGCAAGACCCCGUCUCCAAAACAACAACAACAACAAAAAAACAAGAACAAAAAUAAAUAAAGGUUCCUAGGCUCUGAAGAAGGUUGACUUUGGAGGCUGAGUCACAGAGCUUGACCUCUUAAUUACUGACCUUUUGUUAUAAACGAAUUUCCUUCCUUCUUCCUGGCUUAGACCAGAUGGCCCGAAGAUAGAAGACCCCUUAACUGAGAUAAAAGACCCCUUGACUAUUACAUCCUUAAUGUGGAAUGUCAAAUAUACCUUUCCCAAAAAAGAAACACUGCCCAUAACCAGUCAAUUGCUGUAACUAUGUAUGAAAAAUGAUGAGUUCUGUUUACAUCCUUGCCUAUAUAAAUGACUCUCAAAUCUCUCCACUUCAGAGCACCUUGGACCCCAUUUGUUUUUGCAGCCUAUGUCCUCCCAAGUGGCCAUCCUCAAACUUUGCACUUCAAUAAACUCAAUAUUUAAUCA